CCCUUAGAUGUUCUGGGCCGCACGCGCGCUACACUGACGAUGGCAACGAGUUUUUCCUUCGCCGAAAGGUGUGGGUAAUCUUUUGAAACAUCGUCGUGCUGGGGAUAGAUCAUUGCAAUUUUUGAUCUUGAACGAGGAAUUCCUAGUAAGCGCGAGUCAUCAGCUCGCGUUGAUUACGUCCCUGCCCUUUGUACACACCGCCCGUCGCUACUACCGAUUGAAUGGUUUAGUGAGGACUCCUGAUUGGCGCCGCCGCUCCGGCAACGGAGCAGCGGACUGCCGAAAAGUUGUUCAAACUUGAUCAUUUAGAGGAAGUAAAAGUCGUAACA
rnacentral:rRNA from 1 species